rnacentral:lncRNA from 1 species
CGGCAGUCAGCUGGGCAGGAGGGCGGCCAGUCCCGGCCAGGAGCUGGUGCUGCGGCUGGGCCCUGUGCAAGAGAGGCGGGCCGACCUCGGCGGCAUCCGGUCUGCACUCCUUCCGUGGCCUGCGGCUCUUCUCAGAAAAACACCCACAGGCACCAGCACCAUGGGCUGCACACAAUUUUACACUCCCUCCCAACAAGCCCGUCUGCGGGCCCCUGGGGGUUAAGACGCUUCAUUUUACAGGAUGGAGAAACGAGGCUGAGACAGACUUGUCCAAGUCCCCCCAGUGUGUCAGGCGCUGGGCAAGGACUAAAGGCCAGAUGUCUGCGUGCACACAGUCAGCACUUGUCGAGCGCUUACUACCAACCAGGCACUGCGCAAGGAAAGUUCUUCCUCUGAAAACAGUUAAGCAUCUCCCUGUGAGGCCUCUCAAGCUGCACAACCCCCAGAUCACUGGCUGUUCCCCCUGGGCUGAAGGCUUCUGGUCUCCUGAACAAGCCCACACACAGAGCUGCACAGGCUGCCUCCACUCACCUCUCACUUCGCUUCCUCCUAGUCCAUGUGAAACAUUGGCAAACUGCCCAUGGCCACUUCUUUCCUGAAGGGUAAGGACUGAUGCAGCCUGGAGCCAUGGUGGCCAUAGAUGCCUGUCCUUCUCUGCUGGUUCGUUCCUUGUAUCAUAUAAACAUGGGUUGUGUCUAGGUCAUUCUAAUUAAAACCGCCUGCUUCUACAUCAGGCUCUCCUCUGGCUACUUUCUCAACUCCAGAUCAAAUUGCUUGUAUCUGUCUGUCCUCCUUGCCCUCUUUGCACCAGGGGGUACGGCUGGAACAUUCCUCUCUCUUGGUUUCAGCAGUGGUGCACUCUUCUGGUUUCCCCCUUCUUUGACCAUUUCUUCUCAGUUGCCUCUUCUCUGCUUCCUUUUAAAUGUUUCCAUUCCCUAGGGCUCCAGUUUUAGCCAUCUGCUUAUUCCAUUUUACCUCAGUGGUUCAUAAUUUAGGGGGGAGGGUGUAUCUUCUCCCCUUUGAGAAUUGGCAAUGGCUGCGGAUCUACUCCACAGUGCAUGGAGUGGGGGAAAAACCCACAUUUAUCCAAACACAACAUUUUGUAUACAAUUCCAGGUCCUUAACCUGAAGCCUGUUCUUCCUGCAUGAUUUCAUUCCCAUCCCCAGCUUCUUCCCAGUCUUUCUCCCAGGCCUAUAGCUCUGUUGCCUCUCAGACUAACAGAUCAAUAGUCUCCUGGGCAUUUUCAU